rnacentral:lncRNA from 10 species
GGAAUACGAAGGGAGAAUGAAACAAAACUGCUCCGCUUAGGGAACUUGGAAAGGAAAUUGAAAAGGCAAGGCACAGGCUGGAAGAAAAUAUUUGAAAAAGAUUUAUGUGAACUUCUUUCUGGAUUAUACAAAAUAUUUUUAGAUAUUCUUACAACUCUAAAAUAAGAUAACUCCUUAAAAAUCUAAAUUCUACCAAAGGAGAGAUAAAGAUGACGAAUACAUUCAAAGAUGCUGAAAAUCACUUAUUUAUUAUUAGGAAGUUACAAGCUAAAGCAUAAUGAGAUACCACUACAACCUACUAAACUGACUAAAAUUAAUCAGACUAACCAGGUGUUGGCAAGAAACAGGGACACUGAGACUCUCACACUGCUGGAAGGAAUGUAAAAUGCUAAAACUUCUUUGGAAAUGAGUUCAGUAACUUUUUAAACAGUUGAAAAUAGACCUAUCAUGCAAACCAGCAAUCCCACUUCCAGGUAUUUAUACAAGGAAAAUGACAACAUAUGCCCACAUAAAGACUUGUGCACAAAUGACCGUAGCAGCUUUGUGAUAAUUGCUAAAAACUAGAAACUUGUCAAGUGUCCAACAGUCUACAUGAGUCUCUUUGACACAAGUCUCUGGUACAGAUGAAGACCAGAGAGCUUGGGAGUCACUGCUGAAGAGAAGAGUGAAUGAGUAAACAAAGGUAGAUGAGGCAAAGAACAUACCGAAUGUCAGGAUUCAGAUGGGACUGCUGUAUGAUAUUAAUGAACACAGAUAUCUGGAGAAACCAUGUCAAAGCUUUCCAAGAGAGACUGUGAACAGUACCUGGGGAACACCAAAAA